AAAACAACAUGAAGAUCAGCUUUCCUAAAUUUUCUCCCUAAUUCUAGUUUUCUUUUUAUCAGCAGGAUUCAAUUCUCUUCUUUGGUAUAUUGUGACCAGAAUGGCUCUUCAGCGGAGAGUUUUGUUGUGGUGCGGAGGUCCUUUAUAAAAAAUCACGAAGAGAAGGGGUCCCAGAAGAGAUCACUGAGGCACACCACUGGUCACCGUCCUCCAUGCAGAAUAUGACCCGUCUACAACCACUCUUUGCCAAGUCAUCCCUACAAUCGUCAAGAUCCUUUUCCGUAGUGAAUAAAUACUGAAAAAUACAGUGCAAAAUAUGCCUUUCCAGCCCUUCGAGCCACGUGGCCCAGCAACCCACGAUUUAACCCUAGCCUGAUCACAGGACAAUGUACAAUGACCAAAUAAUCUACCAACCGGUACAUCAUUGGACUGUGGGAAGAGAAUGGAGCAGCCGGAGAAAACCCACAUAUUCACAGGGAGGAGGUCCAGACUCCUUAUACAUGACGUCAGAAUUGAACUUUGGGACGCCCCGAGUGGUAAUAUCAUGGCACUAACCACUACAGUACUGUGGCACCGGUACAUCCAGAUUAGAGUAUUCCCCCACCCCAGUUCCACUCAGGAGUGUCAAUCCAGUAUAUGUCCAUGUCUUCAGAAUGGGAUGAGUUCUGUAAUCCGGUUGACUUAAAUCAAGGUGUGCUCUCACUGAUUCACAGCUGUUUGUUAGACAGUACUGAGCUGAACACAAUACACCCAGAGCAGCAGUGUAAAACAGGCUCGUGGCUAGUCGGCUGCCCCCGUGCACCAGGAAGUUUGAAUGGUUUGCACAGGUUAGCAACUUGCACUGAGUUUAUUCAGCACCACUGUAAAAAGCCAAUUUUAACCUCAAGUUAAAACUGUGACCUGCCAAUCUUAUUUGGAAAUGGCUCCACUAUACCUUCUGGUUCACAGAUACUGUUAGUUUUUCAGUACCAUUUUAUAUGGGACGUGCAGAAAUUUUUGCCUUCCACCCCUUCGAGCCACACUGCUCAGCAACCCCUGAUGUAACCCUAGCCAUGUCACAGGACAAUUUACGACAAACUAACCUACGAACCGGUACAUCUUUCGACUGUGGGAGAAAACCGGAGCACCUGGAGGAAGCACACACAUUCCACGGGGAGGACGUACAGACUCCUUAUGGAUGACGUUGGAGUUGAUCUCCAAACUCCAAGAUGUAAUCGUGCCAUGUUAAUCGCUAUGCUACCAUGUCAUGGACAUUUCUUGUUUUGGUCUGGAAGCAACCAGUUCCAAAUGAUUCCCUGCUAACUCUUGAGUGCCAUUCAAAAACUUGUAUCUGUGAUUCAAUAAAAUCCCUGA